rnacentral:rRNA from 1 species
UACAGAGGGGGCAAGCGUUGUUCGGAAUUACUGGGCGUAAAGGGCGCGUAGGCGGCCUGCUAAGUCGAACGUGAAAUCCCUGGGCUCAACCCAGGAACUGCGUCCGAUACUGGUUGGCUUGAGUCCGGUAGGGGAGCGUGGAAUUCCUGGUGUAGCGGUGAAAUGCGCAGAUAUCAGGAGGAACACCGAUGGCGAAGGCGGCAUCCUGGACCGACACUGACACUGAGGAGCGAAAGCCAGGGGAGCAAACGGG